CUGGGAGCCUGGCAAGCCCACGCAGCGACGGUUAUUUAGCCGUUGAACUGCCAGCCGCCCGGGGCCCACGCGCUCCGGGCCGCUCAGCCUGAGCGAUUUCCCGCCUUUUCUGAGGUUCUGAGGCGGGAGCUAUUGGUUCUUUCUGUUGCCCUCAUAGACCAUAGGUAGCAGUUCGCGUGGGCACGGAGCCCACGGUUUCCCGCUAGUUCUUCAAAGAUAUUUACAACCGUAACAGAAAAUGGAAAAGCAAAAGCCCUUUACGUUGUUCGUACCACCGAGAUUAAGCAGCAGUCAGGUGUCUGCGGUGAAACCUCAGACCCUGGGAGGAGAUUCCACUUUCUUCAAGAGUUUCAACAAAUGUACUGAAGAUGAUUUUGAGUUUCCAUUUGCAAUGACUAAUCUCUCCAAAAAUGGGGAAAACGUUGAUUCAGAUCCUGCUUUACAAAAAGUUAAUUUCUUGCCCAUGCUUGAGCAGGUUGGUAAUUCUGACUGUCACUAUCAGGAAGGACUAAAAGACUCUGAUUUGGAGAAUUCAGAGGCAUUGAGCAGAGUGUAUUCAAAACUGUAUAAAGAGGCUGAAAAGAUAAAAAAAUGGAAAGUAAGUAUAGAAGCUGAACUGAAACAGAAAGAAAAUAAGUUGCAAGAAAACAGAAAGAUAAUUGAAGCACAGCGAAAAGCCAUUCAAGAACUGCAAUUUGGAAAUGAAAAAGUAAGUUUGAAAUUAGAAGAAGGAAUUCAAGAAAAUAAAGAUUUAAUAAAAGAGAAUAAUGCUACAAGGCAUUUAUGUAAUCUACUCAAAGAAACCUGUGCUAGAUCUGCAGAAAAGACAAAGAAAUAUGAAUAUGAACGGGAAGAAACCAGGCAAGUUUAUAUGGAUCUAAAUAAUAACAUUGAGAAAAUGGUAACAGCUUUUGAGGAACUUCGUGUGCAAGCUGAGAAUUCCAGACUGGAAAUGCAUUUUAAGUUAAAGGAAGAUUAUGAAAAAAUCCAACACCUUGAACAAGAAUACAAGAAGGAAGUAAAUGACAAGGAAAAGCAGGUGUCACUACUAUUGAUCCAAAUCUCUGAGAAAGAAAAUAAAAUGAAAGAUUUAACAUUUCUGCUAGAGGAAUCCAGAGAUAAAGUUAAUCAAUUAGAGGAAAAGACAAAAUUACAGAGUGAAAACUUAAAACAAUCAAUUGAGAAGCAGCAUCAUUUGACUAAAGAACUAGAAGAUAUUAAAGUGUCAUUACAAAGAAGUGUGAGUACUCAAAAGGCUUUAGAGGAAGAUUUACAGAUAGCAACAAAAACAAUUUGUCAGCUAACUGAAGAAAAAGAAGCUCAAAUGGAAGCAUUUAAUAAAGCUAGAGCUGCUCAUUCAUUUGUGGUUACUGAAUUUGAAACUACCAUCUGCAGCUUGAAAGAAUUAUUGAGAACAGAACAGCAAAGAUUGGAAAAAAGUGAAGAUCAAUUGAAAAUACUUACCAUGGAGCUUCAAAAGAAAUCAAGUGAACUGGAAGAGAUGACUAAGCUUACAAAUAACAAAGAAGUAAUACUUGAAGAAUUGAAAAAAGUCUUGGGAGAAAAGGAAAAGCUUUUAUAUGAAAAUAAACAAUUUGAGAAGAUUGCUGAAGAAUUAAAAGGAACAGAACAAGAACUAAUUGGUCUUCUCCAAGCCAGAGAGAAAGAAGUACAUGAUUUGGAAAUACAGUUAACUGCGAUUACCACAAGUGAACAGUAUUAUUCAAAAGAGGUUAAAGAUCUGAAAACUGAGCUUGAAAAUGAGAAGCUUAAGAAUACUGAAUUAACUUCACACUGCAACAAGCUUUCACUAGAAAACAAAGAACUCACACAGGAAACAAGUGAUAUGACCCUAGAACUCAAGAAUCAGCAAGAAGAUAUUAAUAAUAACAAAAAGCAAGAAGAGAGGAUGUUGAAACAAAUAGAAAAUCUGGAAGAAACAGAAACCCAAUUAAGAAAUGAACUGGAAUAUGUGAGAGAAGAGCUAAAACAGAAAAGAGAUGAAGUUAAAUGUAAAUUGGACAAGAGUGAAGAAAAUUGUAACAAUUUAAGGAAACAAGUUGAAAAUAAAAACAAGUAUAUUGAAGAACUUCAGCAGGAGAAUAAGGCCUUGAAAAAAAAAGGUACAGCAGAAAGCAAGCAACUGAAUGUUUAUGAGAUAAAGGUCAAUAAAUUAGAGUUAGAACUAGAAAGUGCCAAACAGAAAUUUGGAGAAAUCACUGACACCUAUCAGAAAGAAAUUGAGGAUAAAAAGAUAUCAGAAGAAAAUCUUUUGGAAGAGGUUGAGAAAGCAAAAGUAAUAGCUGAUGAAGCAGUAAAAUUACAGAAAGAAAUUGAUAAACGAUGUCAACAUAAAAUAGCUGAAAUGGUAGCACUUAUGGAAAAACAUAAGCACCAAUAUGAUAAGAUCAUUGAAGAAAGAGACUCAGAAUUAGGACUUUAUAAGAGCAAAGAACAAGAACAGUCAUCACUGAGAGCAUCUUUGGAGACUGAACUAUCCAAUCUCAAAGCUGAACUUUUGUCUGUUAAGAAACAACUUGAAAUCGAAAGAGAAGAGAAAGAAAAACUCAAAAGAGAGGCAAAAGAAAACACAGCUACUCUUAAAGAAAAAAAAGACAAGAAAACACAGACAUCUUUAUUGGAAACACCUGAAAUGUAUUGGAAAUUUGAUUCUAAAGCAGUUCCUUCACAAACUAUAUCUCGAAAUUUCACAUCAGUUGAUCAUGGCAAAUCCAAAGAUAAAAGAGACUAUCUGUGGACAUCUGCCAAAAAUACUUUGUCUACACCAUUACCAAAGGCAUAUACAGUGAAGACACCAACAAAACCAAAACUACAGCAAAGAGAAAACCUGAAUAUACCCAUUGAAGAAAGUAAUAAAAAGAGAAAAAUGGCCUUUGAAUUUGAUAUUAAUUCAGAUAGUUCAGAAACUACUGAUCUUUUGUUUACAGAUGAGGAAACUGAGUCACGAAAGUAUUUUUUUCAAGAUCACAUAGUAAGAUAUGGAGCCAAAAUUUGAACACAGUCUGGCUUCAUAGCCUAUAGCAUGGUUUCAGAAGAAGAGACAUUGAAAACACUAUAUAGGAAAAAUAAUCCACCAGCUUCUCAUCUUUGUGUCAAAACACCAAAAAAGGUCCCUUCAUCUCUAACAACCCCUGGAUCUACAAUGAAGUUUGGAGCUUUAAGAAAAAUGCGGGAGGACCGUUGGGCUGUAAUUGCUAAAAUGGAUAGGAAAAAAAAACUAAAAGAAGCAGAAAAGUUAUUUGUUUAAUUUCAGAGAAUCAGUGUAGUUAAGGAGCCUAAUAACAUGAAACUUAUAGUUAAUGUUUUGUUCUUAUUUGCCAGAGCCAAAUUUUAUCUGGAAGUUGAGACUUUUAAAAAAUAUUUGCGUGAAUGAUUUGUGUUUCUUUAUAUUUUUAGCCUAAAUGUUAACUACAUAUUGUCUGAAAACCUCAUUAUAUUCAGGUAAUUAGAUGAUUAUAUUUUGUUGUUACUUUUUCUUGUAUUCAUGAAAACUGUUUUUACUAAGUUUUCAAAUUUGUAAAGUUAGCCUUUGAAUGCUAGGAAUGCAUUAUUAAGAGUCAUUCUUUAUUCUUUACUAUUAAAAUAUUUUGGAUGCAAA